rnacentral:misc_RNA from 1 species
UUUCCGUAGGUGAACCUGCGGAAGGAUCAUUCAUAAUAAAGUGUUUUAUGGCACUUUUUAAAAAUCCAUAUCCACCUUGUGUGCAAUGUUAGAUCUCGUCAAUCUUGGCGAGAUUUUUAUACAUCAACUCAUUCUUUAACUAAUUGGUCUGAAAAAUAUUAUGAAUACUUAAUUCAAAAUACAACUUUCAACAACGGAUCUCUUGGCUCUC